CCUACGGGGUGCUGCAGUGAGGAAUAUUGGUCAAUGGCCGUAAGGCUGAACCAGCCAAGUCGCGUGAAGGAAGAAGGAUCUAUGGUUUGUAAACUUCUUUUAUAGGGGAAUAAAGGUAUCCACGUGUGGAUAUUUACAUGUACCCUAUGAAUAAGCAUCGGCUAACUCCGUGCCAGCAGCCGCGGUAAUACGGAGGAUGCGAGCGUUAUCCGGAUUUAUUGGGUUGAAAGGGUGCGUAGGUUGUUUGUUAAGUCAGCGGUGAAAGUUUGUGGCUCAACCAUAAAAUUGCCGUUGAUACUGGAAGUCUUGAGUGUGUUUGAGGUAGGCGGAAUGCGUGGUGUAGCGGUGAAAUGCAUAGAUAUCACGCAGAACUCCGAUUGCGAAGGCAGCUUACUAAGCCAUAACUGACACUGAAGCACGAAAGCGUGGGGAUCAAACAGGAUUAGAUACCCUAGUAGUC
rnacentral:rRNA from 1 species